GAUGAACGCUGGCGGCGUGCUUAACACAUGCAAGUCGAACGGGAAACCUUUUAUUGUAGCUUCGGCAGAUUUGGCUGGUUUCUAGUGGCGGACGGGUGAGUAACGCGUGGGUAACCUGCCUUAUACAGGGGGAUAACAACCAGAAAUGGUUGCUAAUACCGCAUAAGCGCACAGGACCGCAUGGUCCGGUGUGAAAAACUCCGGUGGUAUAAGAUGGACCCGCGUUGGAUUAGCUAGCUGGCAGGGUAACGGCCUACCAAGGCGACGAUCCAUAGCCGGCAUGAGAGGGGGAACGGCCACAUUGGGACUGAGACACGGCCCAGACUCCUACGGGAGGCAGCAGUGGGGAAUAUUGCACAAUGGGGGAAACCCUGAUGCAGCGACGCCGCGUGAAGGAAGAAGUAUCUCGGUAUGUAAACUUCUAUCAGCAGGGAAGAUAGUGACGGUACCUGACUAAGAAGCCCCGGCUAACUACGUG
rnacentral:rRNA from 1 species